AGUGAACGCUGGCGGUAGGCCUAACACAUGCAAGUCGAACGGCAGCACAGUAAGAGCUUGCUCUUACGGGUGGCGAGUGGCGGACGGGUGAGGAAUACAUCGGAAUCUACUUUUUCGUGGGGGAUAACGUAGGGAAACUUACGCUAAUACCGCAUACGACCUACGGGUGAAAGCAUGGGAUCUUCGGACCUUGCGCGAUUGAAUGAGCCGAUGUCGGAUUAGCUAGUUGGCGGGGUAAAGGCCCACCAAGGCGACGAUCCGUAGCUGGUCUGAGAGGAUGAUCAGCCACACUGGAACUGAGACACGGUCCAGACUCCUACGGGAGGCAGCAGUGGGGAAUAUUGGACAAUGGGCGCAAGCCUGAUCCAGCCAUACCGCGUGGGUGAAGAAGGCCUUCGGGUUGUAAAGCACUUUUGUUGGGAAAGAAAAGCAGCAGGUUAAUACCCCGCUGUUCUGACGGUACCAAAAGAAUAAGCACCGGCUAACUUCGUG
rnacentral:rRNA from 1 species